GAUGAACGCUGGCGGCGCGCCUAACACAUGCAAGUCGAACGAUUAAAGCACCUUCGGGUGUGUAUAAAGUGGCGAACGGCUGAGUAACACGUGGGCAACCUGCCCCUCUCAUUGGGAUAGCCACGGGAAACCGUGGAUAAUACCGAAUACUUCGGGACUUCCGCAUGGAAGACUCGAGAAAGCUCCGGCGGAGAGGGAUGGGCCCGCGGCCUGUUAGCUUGUUGGAGGGGUAAUGGCCUACCAAGGCAAUGAUGGGUAGCUGGGUUGAGAGACCGACCAGCCAGAUUGGGACUGAGACACGGCCCAGACUCCUACGGGAGGCAGCAGUGGGGAAUCUUGCACAAUGGGCGAAAGCCUGAUGCAGCGACGCCGCGUGCGGGAUGAAGGCCUUCGGGUUGUAAACCGCUUUCAGCAGGGACGAGGCGAAAGUGACGGUACCUGCAGAAGAAGCCCCGGCUAACUACGUG
rnacentral:rRNA from 1 species